rnacentral:tRNA from 1 species
AGCAGAGAGGUCUAGUGGAUAGAUACUGGCCUGGGAGUCAGGAGACCUGGGUUCUAAUCCUUGCUUUACUA